rnacentral:rRNA from 1 species
ACAGCAGUAGCCGCGGGAAAACGAAGGGUGCAAGCGUUACUCGGAAUUACUGGGCGUAAAGCGUGCGUAGGUGGUGGUUUAAGUCCGUUGUGAAAGCCCUAGGCUCAACCUGGGAAUUGCAGUGGAUACUGGGUCACUAGAGUGUGGUAGAGGGUAGUGGAAUUUCCGGUGUAGCAGUGAAAUGCGUAGAGAUCGGAAGGAACAUCUGUGGCGAAGGCGACUAUCUGGGCCAACACUGACACUGAGGCACGAAAGCGUGGGGAGCGAACAGGAUUAGAUACCCCUGUAGUCCCUGUCUCUUAUAC